GGGGGAAACCCUGACGCAGCAACGCCGCGUGAGUGAUGAAGGCCUUCGGGUCGUAAAGCUCUGUCAGAGGGAAAGAAAUGUGGGGCGGCUAAUACCGUUACCACUUGACGGUACCCUCAAAG
rnacentral:rRNA from 1 species